AGGGGAGGGAACGAACGAAGCUGAGAGCCGAGCAGGAAGGGAAAUUAAACGAAGGCAGGAGAGAGGCUUUGAAUGCUAACAAGCGUUAUAGCUUUAACUACAAUAGUAGCCGUCGUUGUUUAGCCUAAAAGGUGAAGAGGUUUUUUUUUGUGCCGAAAACAUCAAACGAAUGGAGUCGGCGAACUCGUAGCCAACCACGAUUGCAAAAAGCCCAAACACCUGGUAACCCGCCGAACUUGGAGAGCAAGCGAAGGCUAUGCGCCAGCUGCAGAAUUCACCAUCAUCAUCAUCAUCAUCGGUGCCCCGCUACCUUCAUCUUUUUCAGUUGAAGUGAAAUGUAUUGCCUAGUCUGUAUGGGAGACGGAUCUUACACUUACUGACCACUACCAUGGAGAUAGAGAAUAUAGUCGCCAACACGGUGCUGCUGAAGGCGAGAGAAGGUGGAGGAGGGAAGAGGAAUGGGCGCAGUAAGAAAUGGAAGGAGAUGUUGAAACUUCCCCACAUCAGUCUGUGUGAAGAGCUACGACCUCACCAUCGACAGGGACUAUACCAGUUUGUGUGAGAGACAGCCGAUU